AUGAAAACAAUGGAAAUUCUGGCUGAUAUGAAAGCAAAUGAUCCUGACUUCAAUUACACCGUGCAAGUAGAUGAAGACAGCAGGAUAAAAACACUCAUGUGGGUUACGAGUAGGGGGUGCGAUCAUUAUCGGUAUUUCGGUGAUGCAAUUACAUUUGACACAACAUACAGGACCAACCUAUAUGACAUGCUGUUUGGUCUCUUCGUUGGUGUCAACAAUCACUUUCAGAGUAUAAUCUUUGGAGGGGUCAUGAUGAGAGAUGAGAAAGAAGAAUCUUUCAAGUGGGUGUUCCGAGAGUUCAUACGUAUGGUUGGUGGGAAGCAUCCACAAACUAUACUUACAGAUCAAGUGCGCUCUAUGGAAAUUGCAAUCGAGGCAGAAAUGCCAAACACAGUACAUCAUUGGUGCAAGUGGCAUGUCCUGAAAAAAGCGAAAGAGUCAAUGGGUGUGCUUUGGAGCAAGAACAGUGAAUUCAAAAUGGAGUUUCACAAGCUUGUUCAUCACAUGACCACGGAAGAGGAAUUUGAGCAAGGGUGGCAGCAGAUGUUGGACAAGUACUCACUCAAGAAACAUCCGUUUCUGACACAGAUAUACGAAGUCCGGCAUAAAUGGGCUAAACCAUAUUUUAUGGGUGUCUUCUGUGCUAAAAUGACCAGCACCCAAAGGAGUGAGAGCGCAAAUCACCUUCUGAAGGGGUACGUGCCUCCAGGGUGUCCAAUGCAUCUGUUCCUCAAGCAAUUUGAGAAGCUUCAAUUUGACCGGCAAUCUGAAGAAAGCUUCCAGGAGAAAAGAACAUCACUGCCCAGAAAUCUAUGGAUAUAUAAUCAUGUUUGGAGGUUGGAGCCAGCACAUGACCGAUUAUAA
rnacentral:rRNA from 1 species